AGUGAAUAGAUACCCCGGUAGUCCCAGCUGUAAACGAUGCGCGUUAAGUGUAUCGGUGACCACGAGUCACCGAGGUGCCGAAAGGGAAACCGUGAAACGUGCCGCCUGGGAAGUACGGUCGCAAGGCUGAAACUUAAAGGAAUUGGCGGGGGAGCACCACAACAGGUGGAGCCUGCGGUUUAAAUCGGACUCAACGCCGGGAAGCUCACCGGAUAAGACAGCUGAAUGAUAGCCGGGUUGAAGACUCUGCUUGACUAGCUGAGAGGAGGUGCAUGGCCGUCGUCAGUUCGUACUGUGAAGCAUCCUGUUAAGUCAGGCAACGAGCGAGACCCACGCCAACAGUUGCCAGCAUGUCCUCCGGGAUGGUGGGGACACUGUUGGGACCGCCUCUGCUAAAGAGGAGGAAGGAAUGGGCAACGGUAGGUCAGCAUGCCCCGAAUUAUCCGGGCUACACGCGGGCUACAAUGGUCAGGCAAUGGGUAUCAACACCGAAAGGUGAAGGCAAUCUCCUAAACCUGUCCUUAGUUCGGAUUGUGGGCU
rnacentral:rRNA from 1 species